UGCAGCACUGGAUCCGCAUGCCCGGAUGCGUCGACGACGAGGCCAGGAGGCCGCUGGGUCCGGGAACUAGGCGGCGCACCCUGCAGUAGCCGGUCGGGACGAGCGCGGGGGCUACCAACGCGGGCACUUCUCUGCUUCCUCGACCUCCAAGGAAGAACUAUGUGAGCUCUAGUGCAGCACUGGAUCCGCAUGCCCGGAUGCGCCGGUGACGAGGCCAGGCGGCCGCUUGGUCCGAGAACUGGGCGGUGAACCCUGCAGCCGCCGGUCAGGACGAGCGCAGAGGCGACCAACGCGGGAACUUCUCUGCUUCCUCGACCUCCAAGGAAGAACUACGUGAGCGCUAAUGCAGCGCUGGAUCCGCAUGCCCGGAUGCGCCGGCGACGAUGCCAGGAGGCCGCUAGGUCCGGGAACUGGGCGGUGCACCCUGCAGCCGCCGAUCGGGACGAGCGCGGAGGCGACCAACGCGGGCACUUCUCUGCUUCCUCGACCUCCAAGGAAGAACUAUGUGAGCGCUAGAUGUGUUUUAUCUCAACGGAACAGUUAUGUUUAUACAUGUAUCAGUAGGUUCAGGUUUUUAGUGUCUGGAUUGUGUUCUAGUCGACAACUGAUGCUAGUCAAAUUAUGCGUGUCAC
rnacentral:lncRNA from 1 species